UUAUGGUGUGUCCAUGAGCUUCUGCGUCAUGAGCUUCCCAGAGCUCGUGGCAAUGCUGACGGACGCCCAGCUCUGCGGAGAUCUCGGGUCGGCAGCUCGUGCCGGGGCAUAAGGAACAGAGGAAGAAAGCUGUUGGAGGGCAGAGUUUUGCUGGCAUCCCUGGGGCCUGGUGAGGAGCUGGUCUGAAGAAACGUUUCUGAAAGAAACCCUGCGUGAUAAGAUUUGUGGGAAACACUGAAAUCACGGAACUCACGGCCCGCAGUGCUGCUUCUGAGCUGAGACCACGCCUACGGUUUGGAAACCGAGACUCUCUUGCCUAAGCUCAGGUGCGAUGAAAACAGCAAAUUGAAAAUUGUUUCUCUGCCAAAUGUUUAUGUGAUGGUUUUCCUCAUCAUUGUAAAGUGACAAGCACACACCCGAACUGGACACGUGUCACACAGGAGGGCUGUUGAUUUAGAUCCUGAAUUAGAGCGGGUGUUGGGGAAUCAACUAAAUAAAACUCCAGAGUCACCAGCUGGACGCUGAAAGGCUGAUAAGAUCUGUGUCUGAGAGGAUCUGGCACAUCUUAAGGCCUCCGCUUGGAUCCCCUCCUGAUGAAAGCGCAGCUGCCCUGUCUGUGGAGCUGGCCUCCCGCGGCUGCUGCGGUGCUGUUACUGGUUUACGCUCCUGUUGCAGUUUGUUCCUCUCCUGCUGGAAGCUCGGCUUCACGGGAGGCAGGCCCUGCCCUGUGGCUCAGAACCUCUCAGGACCGCGAUGGGCGCGCGGUCCCAGCUCAGGAAAUGUGCUCUGACUCAGCGACUGCACGGGGGACCACGUGUUGAGUCCACGUGUCCGCGCGUCAGUGAUGAGAUGACCGCCACUGUGUCAAAGCACGGGCAAGCAGAGGGAGCUGGGGUGGGUGCCCUCCCGGGAAGGGAGGCGCCCUCAUCCGGCGCCGGCCUGGGAAGCCGAGACCCGGGGCGGGGCUGCGGCCUGCCAGCCACCUGAGCAGCAGAGCCAGAACCCACGCCCAGCGUCUGACCUGGGAUCCCAGGUCACGCGCUGCCUGGUUUCUGGCCUCGUCCACCAGUGGGACUCAUCGCCUGGGAGGUCUCAGAGCGGAUGAGCGCCGGGAUCUGCUGGGGCCCAGACCUGGGUGACCCUGGGGUGCCCUGGAAACUGGGCGCCUAGGCACAACUCUCCCUCACCCACCUCGGGUCCCAGGGUCUUGGGAAGCAGGUACACCUACUGGCCGGGUUGGUGGUGUUCAGGAAAAGUGACAAGUGGGAUUGGAGAAUAUAGACAGGAUAUUCUGCAGGAAAGAUGUCUGCAGGCCUAUUUCACAUCCUACAGAAGGUACGUGCACUGCUGGUUGAGGGUCGCCGGGAAGUCCGGUGAGCUGAGGCUGCAGACCGCCCCUGCCCAGCCCAGCCCCUCUCCCGGUCUCAUGGGUGACAAGUGAGGACAGCGUGUGCAGAUGGGAGCUGCCGGGGUUGGGGAGGGUGGACCCCUGGCCUUGCUCAUCUGCACACGUGCGAGCAGUCACGGAGCUGACGCUCACGGACAGCACACAGCCAGGGGCACAGAACUGUCCCGACCUGGGCAAAGGACGGCCGCUUGCCUGCAGCCCUUAGUGGAGGCGUGGGGUUUCCCAAGUCUGGCCUGGUAGUCACACAGCACCUGUGUGCACCCUCGGCCUGGGCCACGUCCCCCACUCCCAGAGAGACCUGGUGGGGGGCGGGGACUGAGGUACACCGGGUCUUGCUGUCGGCUCUGGGGAGGGGGUCCUGACUCCGAGCCUCCUAUCCGGGCCGCGUCCCUGCGACUGUGGCAGGUAACUUAUCAGCUCCUGAGCAGCAGAGCCGGGAUGUCGCAGUUGCCUGCGAUCCACACACAGGCUGACCUUUGCCCACCUGGAAGACAGGAUGUCGGGAUGUCAUGGGCUGGUCCCGGGGCAAACGGGGGCUGAGACUGCAGGUGGAGUUCGGGCUGCUGUCAGCUGGCCUCACAGUGGGGAGCAU
ensembl:lncRNA